CCUACGGGAGGCAGCAGUGGGGAAUAUUGGACAAUGGGCGAAAGCCUGAUCCAGCAAUGCCGCGUGAGUGAUGAAGGCCUUAGGGUCGUAAAGCUCUUUUACCCGGGAUGAUAAUGACAGUACCGGGAGAAUAAGCCCCGGCUAACUCCGUGCCAGCAGCCGCGGUAAUACGGAGGGGGCUAGCGUUGUUCGGAAUUACUGGGCGUAAAGCGUGCGUAGGCGGUUAUUCAAGUCAGAGGUGAAAGCCCGGGGCUCAACCCCGGAACGGCCUUUGAAACUAGGUAGCUAGAAUCUUGGAGAGGUCAGUGGAAUUCCGAGUGUAGAGGUGAAAUUCGUAGAUAUUCGGAAGAACACCAGUGGCGAAGGCGACUGACUGGACAAGUAUUGACGCUGAGGCACGAAAGCGUGGGGAGCAAACAGGAUUAGAUACCCUGGUAGUCCACGCCGUAAACGAUGAUAACUAGCUGUUCGGGUACUUGGUAUCUGAGUGGCGCAGACUACGACAUUAAGUUAUCCGUCCGUCGGGUAGGUACGGUCGCGAAGAAUUAAAACUUAAAUAAGAAGUUAGACGGCGUGAGACGUGCCGAACGGACGACGACGAGGGAGUAGG
rnacentral:rRNA from 1 species